rnacentral:rRNA from 1 species
ACUACGGGUGGCUGCAGUGAGGAAUAUUGGUCAAUGGGCGGAAGCCUGAACCAGCCAAGUAGCGUGCAGGAUGACGGCCCUACGGGUUGUAAACUGCUUUUAUACGGGAAUAACGCGCCUUACGUGUAGGGCUUUGCAUGUACCGUAUAAAUAAGGACCGGCUAAUUCCGUGCCAGCAGCCGCGGUAAUACGGAAGGUCCGGGCGUUAUCCGGAUUUAUUGGGGUUAAAGGGAGCGUAGGCCGCAUGUCAAGCGUGCUGUGAAAUGUCCGGGCUCAACCCGGGCCUUGCAGCGCGAACUGGCGUGCUUGAGUCCGCGGAAAGCAGGCGGAAUUCGUCGUGUAGCGGUGAAAUGCUUAGAUAUGACGAAGAACCCCGAUUGCGAAGGCAGCUUGCUGCAGCGGAACUGACGCUGAUGCUCGAAAGCGCGGGUAUCGAACAGGAUUAGAUACCCCUGUAGUC